UUACGACCACAUCACAUUGAAACACUGGUUCCUGUAUGAUUACCAAAGUUAAGCAACAUCAAGUCUGGUCAGUAUCUAGAUGGGUGACCACUUGGGAGUAUCAGGUGUUGUAAG